rnacentral:lncRNA from 1 species
CCCCCCUCAGAUCACCAAUACUUCCCCCUCUCUCUCUCUCUUCCCGCGCUCCGAUCACCACCUCUUCAUGGCGGUGGAGGUCCCGGAGGACGCCCCCGCCCCGGAAGUCGACGGCGACAUCGCCGCAGACCUCGAUAUGCAAGUCUCAGACGACGACGACGACACCUCAGACGGCGAACGCGACUACGAGAACGGCACCUCAGGCGAUGAGAACGACGACAUCGAGAUCACAGAGGCUGACGAGAACGACGACGACGACGGCUACGAGCUCAUCCACGAAGUCGACAACGACGAGUCGUCGGAGGAAGAGGUGGAGUGCGAUGAGACGUGGCUAGAGGAAGCUGAAUUCGCCGGAGGGCGCAAGUCCC